rnacentral:rRNA from 1 species
AGCACCGGCUAACUCCGUGCCAGCAGCCGCGGUAAUACGGAGGGUGCGAGCGUUAAUCGGAAUUACUGGGCGUAAAGGGUGCGUAGGUGGUUAAUUAAGUUAUCUGUGAAAUCCCUGGGCUCAACCUGGGCAGGUCAGAUAAAACUGUUUAACUCGAGUAUGGGAGAGGGUAGUGGAAUUUCCGGUGUAGCGGUGAAAUGCGUAGAGAUCGGAAGGAACACCAGUGGCGAAGGCGGCUACCUGGCCUAAUACUGACACUGAGGCACGAAAGCGUGGGGAGCAAACAGGAUUAGAUACCCUGGUAGUCCACGCUGUAAACGAUGUCAACUAGCUGUUGGUUAUAUGAAUAUAAUUAGUGGCGAAGCAAACGCGA